rnacentral:rRNA from 1 species
ACGGGUGAGUAACACGUGGGAAAUCUGCCCUGCACUCUGGGACAAGCCUUGGAAACGAGGUCUAAUACCGGAUAUGACCUUCCCUCGCAUGGGGGUUGGUGGAAAGCUCCGGCGGUGCAGGAUGGUCCCGCGGCCUAUCAGCUUGUUGGUGGGGUAAUGGCCUACCAAGGCGACGACGGGUAGCCGGCCUGAGAGGGCGACCGGCCACACUGGGACUGAGACACGGCCCAGACUCCUACGGGAGGCAGCAGUGGGGAAUAUUGCACAAUGGGCGAAAGCCUGAUGCAGCGACGCCGCGUGAGGGAUGACGGCCUUCGGGUUGUAAACCUCUUUCAGCAGGGAAGAAGCGCAAGUGACGGUACCUGCAGAAGAAGCACCGGCUAACUACGUGCCAGCAGCCGCGGUAAUACGUAGGGUGCGAGCGUUGUCCGGAAUUAUUGGGCGUAAAGAGCUCGUAGGCGGCCUGUCGCGUCGGAUGUGAAAGCCCGGGGCUUAACCCCGGGUCUGCAUUCGAUACGGGCAGGCUAGAGUGUGGUAGGGGAGAUCGGAAUUCCUGGUGUAGCGGUGAAAUGCGCAGA